UACAGAGGGUGCAAGCGUUGUUCGGAAUUAUUGGGCGUAAAGGGCGCGUAGGCGGUGUCGAUAAGUCCGCUGUGAAAUCUCGAGGCUCAACUUCGAGCCUGUCGGUUGGAAACUGUCUGGCUAGAGUCCGGAAGAGGAGAAUGGAAUUCCUGGUGUAAGCGGUGAAAUGCGCAGAUAUCAGGAAGAACACCCGUGGCGAAAGGCGGUUCUCUGGGACGGUACUGACGCUGAGACGCGAAAGCGUAGGGGAGCAAACGG
rnacentral:rRNA from 1 species